UACGUAGGGGGCAAGCGUUGUCCGGAAUCAUUGGGCGUAAAGCGCGUGUAGGCGGCUCGGUAAGUCCGCUCUGAAAGUCCAGGGCUCAACCCUGGGAUGCGGGUGGAUACUGCCGGGCUCGAGUCCGGAAGAGGCGAGUGGAAUUCCUGGUGUAGCGGUGAAAUGCGUAGAGAUCAGGAAGAACAUCGGUGGCGAAGGCGCUCUGCUGGACCAUAAAUGACAAUCAGGGACGAAAGCUAGGGAGCGAAUGGG
rnacentral:rRNA from 1 species